UGAGGAAUAUUGGUCAAUGGGCGAGAGCCUGAACCAGCCAAGUAGCGUGCAGGAUGACGGCCCUAUGGGUUGUAAACUGCUUUUGUAUGGGGAUAAAGUCAGUCACGUGUGAUUGUUUGCAGGUACCAUACGAAUAAGGACCGGCUAAUUCCGUGCCAGCAGCCGCGGUAAUACGGAAGGUCCGGGCGUUAUCCGGAUUUAUUGGGUUUAAAGGGAGCGUAGGCUGGAGAUUAAGUGUGUUGUGAAAUGUAGACGCUCAACGUCUGACUUGCAGCGCAUACUGGUUUCCUUGAGUACGCACAACGUUGGCGGAAUUCGUCGUGUAGCGGUGAAAUGCUUAGAUAUGACGAAGAACUCCGAUUGCGAAGGCAGCUGACGGGAGCGCAACUGACGCUGAAGCUCGAAGGUGCGGGUAUCGAACAGGAUUAGAUACCCUGGUAGUCCACGCCGUAAACGAUGAGUGCUAGGUGUUGGGUCCUUUCCGGGAUUCAGUGCCGCAGCUAACGCAUUAAGCACUCCGCCUGGGGAGUACGACCGCAAGGUUG
rnacentral:rRNA from 1 species